UACGGAGGGUGCAAGCGUUAUCCGGAUUCACUGGGUUUAAAGGGUGCGUAGGCGGCUAGGUAAGUCCGUGGUGAAAUCCUGCAGCUUAACUGCAGAACUGCCGUGGAUACUAUCUAUCUUGAAUAUCGUGGAGGUUAGCGGAAUAUGUCAUGUAGCGGUGAAAUGCUUAGAUAUGACAUAGAACACCCAUUGCGAAGGCAGCUAACUACGCGAUCAUUGACGCUGAUGCACGAAAGCGUGGGGAUCAAACAGG
rnacentral:rRNA from 1 species